rnacentral:rRNA from 1 species
GAUCAAGCUACAAAGGGCGCAGGGAGAAUGCCUUGGCACCGGAAGCCGACGAAGGACGCGAUAAGCAGCGAAAUGCCACGGGGAGUUGCAAGUAAACUGAGAUCCGUGGGUGUCCGAAUGGAGCAAUCCACAUGGUUGAAGACCAUGUAUCAUGUGUUGAAUAAAAUAGGCACAUGAGGGGAGACCGCCUGAACUGAAACAUCUAAGUAGGGCGAGGAAAAGAAAUCAAACGAGAUUCCGAAAGUAGUGGUGAGCGAAAUCGGAGGAGGCCAAACCAAAGGUAGAAAUAUCUUUGGGGUUAGGAUAGUCUAAAGUGAUCGCAAAGGUUAGCUGAAUCGCAUGGGAAGGCGAGCCAUAGAGAGUGAUAGCCUCGUAAGCGAAAACUAGAGCGCAAGGGACUAAUCCAGAGUACUGCGGCACACGAGAAAUGCCGUGGGAAUGAGGUGGGACCACCCUCCAAGCCUAAAUACUAACCGGUGACCGAUAGAGUAACAGUACUGUGAAGGAAAGGUGAAAAGAACCCCGGGAGGGGAGUGAAAAGAACCUGAAACCCUGUGCUUACAAGCAGCUAGAGCACGUCAAUGUGUGAUAGUGUACUUUUUGUAGAACGGUCCGGCGAGCGUAUGUAUGCAGCGAGGUUAAUGACUUGAAGGUCAGGAGCCGAAGCGAAAGCGAGUCUGAAUAGGGCGAAAAUUUGAGUUGCAUGCAUAGGGCCCGAAACCGAGUGACCUACCCGUGUCCAGGUUGAAGUGGAGGUGAGACUUCAUGGAGGACCGAACCAACCGCUGCGAAAAAGUGGUGGAUGAGGUGCGGGUAGCGGAGAAAUUCCAAUCGAACUCGGAGAUAGCUGGUUCUCCCCGAAAUAGCUUUAAGGCUAGCCUCGUGGAAAAACGAUUAUCGGAGGUAAAGCACUGACUGGGAUAGGGGCCGAAAGGUUACCGAACCUUAUCAAACUAAGAAUGCCGAAUAAUUAUACACGGGAGUCAGACUGCGAGAGAUAAGUUUCGUUGUCGAAAGGGAAACAGCCCAGACCCACAGCUAAGGUCCCAAAGUGUGUUUGAGUGUAGAAGGAUGUGGUGUUGCAGAGACAACCAGGAUGUUGGCUUAGAAGCAGCCACUCAUUGAAAGAGUGCGUAAUAGCUCACUGGUCGAGUGAUACUGCGCCGAAAAUGUAAGGGGGCUAAAACACACACCGAAGCUAGGGCAUCAGACGAUAUUUUCGACGUAUUGUGAAAUACUGGAGAAUACGAGAGAUGGGUAGGGGAGCGUUGUAUGGAGGGCGAAGCCAUAGCGGAAGCGGUGGUGGACUUCAUACAAGAGAGAAUGCCGGAAUGAGUAGCGAGAAUUAUGUGAGAAUCAUAAUGGCCGAAAACCUAAGGGAUUUGGAGGAAGGUUCGUCCGCUCCAAGUAAGCCGGGAGCUAAGGCGAGGCCGAAAGGCGUAGUCGAUGCACAUACGGUGGAGAUUCCGUAGCCACCAAAACAUUUAAGUAAAGUGACACUGAGGAAGGUUGUGACCCGGGCGAUGGUUGACCCGGGCGUAAGGGACCGAAGAUUAGUAGGGAAGCACAAGUGGAAUCAGGCGAGAAAAGCUUUAUGGUAUAUGUGAGGUGCCCGUACCGCAAACCGACACAGGUAGGUAGGAAGAGGAUUCUAAGGCCAACGGGAGAAAGGUUGUUAAGGAACUCGGCAAAAUUGCCCCGUAACUUAGGAACAAGGGGUGCUUGCACACACUGAGUGUGUGAGCCGCAGAGAAUAGGUCCAGGCGACUGUUUAUCAAAAACACAGGUCUGUGCUAAAUCGAAAGAUGAAGUAUACGGGCUGACACCUGCCCAGUGCUGGAAGGUUAAGAGGAGAAGUGCAAGCUUCGAAUAUAAGCCCCAGUGAACGGCGGCCGUAACUAUAACGGUCCUAAGGUAGCGAAAUUCCUUGUCAGGUAAAUUCUGACCCGCACGAAUGGUGUAACGAUCUGGACGCUGUCUCAACAGCCUGCCCGGCGAAAUUGUAGUACCGGUAAAGAUGCCGGUUACCCGUGACAAGACGAGAAGACCCCAUGGAGCUUUACUGUAGCCUAAUAUUGAGGCUCGGUGUUUGAUGUACAGGAUAGGUGGGAGACUAGGAGACUAGCGCGUCAGCGCUAGAGGAGUCACCCUUGGGAUACCACUCUUCAUGUAUUGAGAAUCUAACCUGCGGCCAUGAAACUGGUCGAGGGACAGUGUUAGGUGGGCAGUUUGACUGGGGCGGUCGCCUCCAAAAAAGUAACGGAGGCGUUCAAAGGUUAGCUCGACACGGACGGAAACCGUGUGAAAGAGCGCAAACGUAUAAGCUAGCCUGACUGCGAGAGUGACAACUCGAGCAGAUACGAAAGUAGGAGUUAGUGAUCCGGUGGUUAUGUGUGGAAAUGCCAUCGCUCAACGGACAAAAGUUACCCUGGGGAUAACAGGCUGAUCUCCCCCAAGAGUUCACAUCGUCGGGGAGGUUUGGCACCUCGAUGUCGGCUCAUCGCAUCCUGGAGCUGAAUUAGGUUCCAAGGGUUUGGCUGUUCGCCAAUUAAAGCGGUACGCGAGCUGGGUUCAGAACGUCGUAAGACAGUUCGGUCGCUAUCUGUCAUGGGCGCAGGAUAUUUGAGAGGAGCUGUCCCUAGUACGAGAGGACCGGGAUGGACACACCUCUGGUGCACCAGUUGUCGUGCCAACGGCAUAGCUGGGAAGCUACGUGUGGUAAGGAUAAACGCUGAAGGCAUCUAAGCGUGAAGCGAACCUCAAGAUAAGAUAUGCCACUGAGUUAAUCAGGUAAGACCCCUUCGAGACUAGGAGGUAGAUAGGCAUGCGGUGUGAGUAUAGUGAUAUAUUGAGCUAGCAUGUACUAAUCGGUCGAGGGCUUGAUCUU